AUGCCCUUGGUGAGUGUCAGAGAACUGAGCCCAAAGGGCUAAGGUGGCUAUGAGGAGCAGCCUCUGAGCUCCGGUGACAACAGCUCAAUGAAGCCCCCAGCCAGGAUUAAUGAAGCCAAAGGCCCAUGUUGCUGUCAUUCCGAAGAGAGAAAGCAGAGGGGAAAAGUUACGCCACACAACUCCACACGAUCACCAGGCACACAAUGGCACCGAGGGCUGUGCUGUCCCUUUGUACAAGAGGUGUCAACCUGGCACAUUGAGAGUAAAUCACAAGUGUUGUGAAGCGAACCACAAAAGCUAAAGGAAGAUGUGGAGGUGGAGAGAGAUGGCCAGAAUGCUCAGGGAGAAAACAGCCAAAACCAGGAAUUUGGCACAAAAGACAAGAAAUAACCACCAAGACAUGUGAGAUGGAAACACUAUCAAAAGAAGAAAAUAAGCCAUAAAUUGUCCAACAUUAAGGCAAUUACAGGAUGUUAAAUAGUUUCCAAGUCUGUAAAUAGUGUAUACUUUAUUGAAUUUGUAUCUAGAUGAUGUUUUUCUUCCUUUAAGGGCCUUAAAAUAAGAUAUGCUUAAUUUCUUAGUAAUGGCCAAUUUUAUUAUACUCAUGGGAUAUUCCUGGGGAUUGGUUGACAUUUUUUUUCUUAUAGAAAAAGUGGUGUAAUUUCUAGUCCAGUGCUUCCAAAAAUACAUAAGAACUUCCAAAUAAGUAAAAUGUAAAAAAUACAUAGCCAGUUACCUACGUAAGAAUCAUCUCAGUGGCUUAUUAAAGUUGCAGAUGCUAGGGUCUCAACUGCAGGGGUAAAGAAGCAAAAAUAUAUUUUUAUAGGAAAAGCAUGGAGGGAUAAGUUUUGAGAAACACUGGGCUAGAUUAUAGACCCCUCAAACAAUCUACAAGUUCUGGAGUUUAAGUAUCUUUGCCACUAAAAGCAAAUGCAUAUAUUCUGUCGUAUUGUGUAAUAAUGUUCUUUGUUCAUUUCAUAGUUUUAAAAUUUCUCUUCCCAACUUCUCUGCUUCCUCCUCUUCCUCAUCAUCCUUUUUCUCCUCCAAUCUUCUAUCAAAAAUAUAAAUGAUGAACAAGAGUCAAAUAAAAGAAGAUCUGGGGAAAGAUGAUUCCAACCUGAAGGAAUAGCAGUGCAAAGCAGUAGGCAGAAACAAGAUCAGUGUGUUUGAAAAACACCAAGAAGCUACCCUUGGUGACUGAGAAGUAUAGCUGGUGAGGAAGAAGAUGGUAGUUUUCAAGAUCAGACACACAAGCAAGAGUCAGACAAAUAUGGCAUUGUAGGCCAAGGUAAGGAUUUAGAUUUUAUUCCAAUUGCAGUAAAAGGUAUUUGGAGAGUUCCAAAUAAGGAGAAAAGAUGGGGGUUCUGGCCUACAUUUUAAAAAUAUUACUCUGCCUGCUCUGUGGCGGUAAGUUACUGGUAGUUAUAAGAAAGUUCUGCUGAGAAGCUAGAGUGAAAACUAUACGAAUGAGAUGACAGUGAUUGGACUUGGGCAGCCUUGAAAAGCGUGUGUGUUGGUUCUUUCUUUUGGCACUCAGUGUAAACCCCACCUCCUUUUAUCAUCCCCCCCCCCCCCCCAUAUGUGGGUGCUGCACUCUGGGAACUGUAUUUUCCUAGGCCUCUCAUCAGGAAGCUUCUGGUUUAGACUUCACCUAUUAUAGACACUCACAAAAAAUCAGAAAGGAAAGAGAUAAAAUUCAUUCUUCCUCCAGAAUGAUGCUGGCAGCCUGGACUGCUGGAUUGAUGGUAGUGGUUUCAUGAAGCUUCUUAAUAUCCAAAGUCCACUGUCAGGGUCCUGCUGCAAAGGAGCAGUUUCAACACUAGUUUUUGUAGUUUUAUGAUUUCUAGAUAGCCUCCCCAAUGCUUACAUUUAUUCCUCUAUCCUCUCCAACAACACUGAAAGCAGCUGACCUUGUAUUAAAUCGUUAUGCUUAAAAUACAUAGAUUGAUGCCUAUUUCCCUGAUUGAACUCUGACUUAGGUAGCAUUUUUCUUUGCCCAACAGUAGUUCUAAGAAACAGUCCCUCAAAUAUGGAAAUCUGGGAGUAAUUAUCAGUCCUACUGGGCUUUAAGGUAGUGAUGACUUCAUCUCCAGGAGAAAAUGAGAUGUUGGUCAUACACAUCACUUAGACAAAAUGGCCAGUAGAGUAUACAUGAUGAUUGCAAGUGCUCUGCAUGGGCUAGUUACUUCUGGCUACAUUGGAAGGAUAACAUAAAGAAAAUGAUGAGUUUAGGGCUUUACCUUUUCUGUUCAAGUCACAAGCAGAGAACUGAAGUGUUCCAAUGAUUACCCUAAAAUAACCUCUUGUCUCUUAUCUACAAAAGAUAAGAGUGGACAUCCCUGUCUUAUUCCUGACCAUGGAGAAAAAGCUGUCAGUUUUUCCCUAUUGACAAUAAUAUUAGCUAUGGGUUUUUCAUAUAUGGCCUUUAUAAUGUUGAGGCAUGUUCCCUUUAAACCUGCUUUGUUGAUGGUUUUUAUCAUAAAUCGAUGUUGUACUUUGUCAAAUGCUUUUUCUGCAUCUACUGAAAUGAUCAUAUGGUUCUUAUCCUUCCUUUAUUAAUGUGGUGUAUCACAUUGAUCUGUGAAUAUUGAACCACCCUUG